UUAAGUUCAGCGGGUAUCCCUACCAAGCCGAGGUCAACCAAAAAAUAGUUGGGGGUUUGAGGGCAGGACAGGUCAACGAGUUCAAGCGAAAGAGUUAUCCUAUAACGCCAAAAGGAACACGAAGCCGUCCGCCAGUAAAUUUCAAAGGUGAAUGCAACACUCAACCUUCAGAACCAAGCAAAAAAGAGCUUGAAAUAUCG
rnacentral:misc_RNA from 1 species